AACGAACGCUGGCGGCAUGCCUAACACAUGCAAGUCGAACGAGACCUUCGGGUCUAGUGGCGCACGGGUGCGUAACGCGUGGGAACCUGCCCUUAGGUUCGGAAUAACUCACCGAAAGGGGUGCUAAUACCGGAUAAUGUCUUCGGACCAAAGAUUUAUCGCCUUUGGAUGGGCCCGCGUUGGAUUAGCUAGUUGGUAGGGUAAAAGCCUACCAAGGCGACGAUCCAUAGCUGGUCUGAGAGGAUGAUCAGCCACACUGGGACUGAGACACGGCCCAGACUCCUACGGGAAGCAGCAGUGGGGAAUAUUGGACAAUGGGCGAAAGCCUGAUCCAGCAAUGCCGCGUGAGUGAUGAAGGCCUUAGGGUUGUAAAGCUCUUUUACCCGGGAUGAUAAUGACAGUACCGGGAGAAUAAGCUCCGGCUAACUCCGUG
rnacentral:rRNA from 1 species